rnacentral:rRNA from 1 species
ACAGGGAUUGCCUCAGUAACGGCGAGUGAAGCGGCAACAGCUCAAAUUUGAAAUCUGGCUCUUUCAGAGUCCGAAUUGUAAUUUGUAGAGGGUGCUUUGGCGUUGGCCGUGGUCUAAGUUCCUUGGAACAGGACGUCACAGAGGGUGAGAAUCCCGUACGUGGCCGCCGGUCUUCGCCGUGUAAAGCCCCUUCGACGAGUCGAGUUGUUUGGGAAUGCAGCUCUAAAUGGGAGAUAAAUUUCUUCUAAAGCUAAAUAUUGGCCAGAGACCGAUAGCGCACAAGUAGAGUGAUCGAAAGAUGAAAAGCACUUUGGAAAGAGAGUCAAAAAGCACGUGAAAUUGUUGAAAGGGAAGCGCUUGCAGCCAGACGUGCCCGCAGUUGCUCACCUAGGCUUUCGCCUGGGGCACUCUUCUGCGGGCAGGCCAGCAUCAGUUCGGGCGGUUGGAUAAAGGUCUCUAUCACGUAUCUUCCUUCGGGAAGACCUUAUAGGGGAGACGCAACACGGCCAGCCUGAACUGAGGACCGCGCAUUCGCUAGGAUGCUGGCGUAAUGGCUGUAAGCGGCCCGUCUUGAAACACGGACCAAGGAGUCUAACAUCUAUGCGAGUGUUUGGGUGUCAAGCCCGGACGCGCAAUGAAAGUGAACGGAGGUGGGAACCUUUCGGGGUGCACCAUCGACCGAUCCUGAAGUCUUCGGAUGGAUUUGAGUAAGAGCAUAGCUGUUGGGACCCGAAAGAUGGUGAACUAUGCCUGAAUAGGGUGAAGCCAGGGGAAACCCUGGUGGAGGCUCGCAGCGGUUCUGACGUGCAAAUCGAUCGUCAAAUUUGGGCAUAGGGGCGAAAGACUAAUCGAA